rnacentral:rRNA from 1 species
UACGUAGGGGGCAAGCGUUGUCCGGAUUUAUUGGGCGUAAAGAGCGUGUAGGCGGCCAUACAGGUCAGCUGUGAAAACUCGAGGCUCAACCUCGAGACGUCGGUUGAAACCGUAUGGCUAGAGUCCGGAAGAGGAGAGUGGAAUUCCCGGUGUAGCGGUGAAAUGCGCAGAUAUCGGGAAGAACACCCGUGGCGAAGGCGGCUCUCUGGGACGGUACUGACGCUGAGAAGCGAAAGCAUGGGGAGCGAACAGG